UUUUAAUGAUGAGUCUAACUAGCUCACUUUGAUGUUUUUAUAUGAAAACGCUAGAACAGCUGAAAAAC